rnacentral:rRNA from 1 species
CGCGUACAAAAUCUGCCUUCAACAGGGGGAAAGUCACUGGAAACGGUGAAUAAUCCCGCAUAAGACCACAAUGUCGCAUGGCAAAGAGGUUAAAGCUACGGCGGUUGAAGAUGAUUGUGCGUUCCAUUAGCUAGAUGGUAAGGUAACGGCUUACCAUGGCGACGAUGGGUAGGGGGCGUGAGAGCGUGAUCCCCCACACGGGUACUGAGACACGGACCCGACUCCUACGGGAGGCAGCAGUAAGGAAUAUUGGUCAAUGGAGGAAACUCUGAACCAGCCAUGCCGCGUGUGUGAUGAAUG